rnacentral:lncRNA from 1 species
AGAGUUUUUAUGGAAACUUAUUUUUUAACAAUUUUUUACCGAAAAUGCUCCUGAAUUUGAAUUUUGCUUCUAGUUUUAUUUCUUUUUGGCAAAACUUCUUCAGUGCAACGCCCAAAGCAGUGAACAUCCCCAAGCCCGCUAGUAGUCUUCUCUCACGCCAUGGCCAUUAGGGAAAAUAAAAUUUAAAAAUUUAAAAAUAUACACUAGAAAAUGAAAUAAAUCAUGGGAGUGCUAUGAUAAAUAAAAUGAAAAUGAAAAUCACUAAAAAAAAGUACAUAUUCAGAAAACAAGAUCACGGAUACAUGGCAGAGUUAGAAUAACCUAACAAGUUUUCCGGAGGAAUUGCUAGCACACAAUUAACUACAAAGCAGAGGUAGACAGCGGUGCCUGCCCGGUGAGACAGAGUUUGACGACUGCGCUGUCCGGCGAGACACGAGGUCGACAGGAGGUAGACGAUGGCGGCUGGCUGGCGAGUCGGAGGUAAACGAUGGUGGCAGAAGGCUGUCCAGUACUCACACUACUGCUACAAUGAACACCCAACACAGACAAUAAACCUGCAGCCAGAAAAUCAACUUUACAUGGGACAAUCACUAAAAUUUAUUACUAAACAUUGAUUAUAGUGCCCUAACGACGAACUAAACUGAAUCAUCAAUUGCAUAGAAAAUAAAGAAAAAUAGAGCUGGCUACCGCAUGAUAUCCCUGGUGCAGAACUAUUGCAACUGCACUAAAUCAAUCCUAAGUACACUUAAUUUUAUGUGAUGUGCAGGAAAGCAUGGUUGAUUAAGAGAGAAAAUCAUGGUGGAAAUGAUAAAAUCAGUAUUAUGGCAUCCUUUGCUCUGUCGGUUGUACAAUUGUGUAAAAUUUCCUUGAUGACUACCGUCAUGUAUACAAAGAUAGAAGAAAAGGUCAAUACUAAAUCUGGUAGACUUGAUUCCACAGAAAAAGGAUCUGCUAGACUAAACACAGCGAGUUUAAACUAUAGAGUGCUGAAAACAGAGUACCUGAUGCUCACUGUUUGAACCGGUGGCUGCCUUAAUAAUUGACGUUAUUUUUGCUGCCGUAGGGAAUACACAAACUCAGACGACAACCGUGGACUAUGAACAUCUCGCUUUCUCCUACACGAAAGUCCUGCAUGCAUUGGAGAAGAUUUCGAUGAGACACUUCAGUUUUAUAGAAAAUAGUAAGAGUUUCACUUGCUUUGGCAAAUAACAUGAACUGUGGCCAAGCAGAUUUGUCAUGGCAAAGUAAGGACUUGGAAGUCAAACAAAUUAGCCUUGGUUUUAUGUAGUACUCCCUCCGUUCCUAAAUAUAAGUCUUUCUAGAGAUUGCACCAAGUGACUACAUACAGAGCAAAAUGAAUGAAUCUACACUUUAAAAUAUGUCUACAUACAUCCGUAUGUUGUAUUCCAUUUGAAAUGUCUAAAAAGACUUAUAUUUAGGAACGGAGAGAGUACAUCUUAAUGCAAGAAUAGUAAUAGCAUGUGAGUACCAUGGAAAUGUAGUCUCCAUUUUUGCACUAAGAAGACUGAUACUACAGAUUAUGAAUUUAUUAGACACAAAACAAGUGCAUAGUGUCUUCUAGAAUUGUUAGGCCACUCCAGCUAUACAAUCUCUAAGCAGCAUAUAACACACUCUUCAUAGUUAUGAAAACAUUAUCAUAGCAACUACUCCCUCCGUCCCAUAAUGUAAGACCAUUUUUGACACUACACUAGUGUCAAAAAACACCUUACAUCAUGGGACGGAGGGAGUAAUAUUUAACUACUCUUCAGAAAUUGCAGAAUCUCUGUAGUUUAUCAUAUGUCUGAAUUUUGAUCCUCUCCACUACCUAUGCUUAGUGGGAUUUAUUACCAGUAUUCUCUGUAGUUUAUAAGCAGCAAAUGCCACUGGGGAAUGCUACAUGUUGUAAAAAAUUUGUGAACUCUGAACCUGUGUCUCUUCUAAACUUCAAAACAAACACAUGCAACUGAACUAUGAAACUGUUAUUAGCACUAGUUAAGUUGUUCCAAGCCAUAGUUUACAUGUAUGACCUGAACUUGUAUGUGUAUGCUGCAGCAAGAUUUCAGUUGUUCGAACAUGCUGUUACAAGUAAUCCAAAAUUCAAGAUUUCAUUACUGAAUAAAGGCUUGACAGUUAACAGAAUUUAUACAUGUAUGGCCUGAACUUGUGUACGUGUAUGAUACAGGAGUAUGACCAUAAGCUUACAUAGUUAACUGUUGAUUCUGGAAACUUUAAGGCUGCAAUUUCUACUUGUAUGUUUGUGUGACAAACCAAAUGAUUCUUUGCUGAAAAAAAUUCAUAUCAUAUCCCUUUUUCUUUAGAGUUUUGUGUUGAUGAUUCGUGCAUGUAAAAACGUGGCAGCAGCAGCGUGCUAACAGUCAGCAGCAGCAGCAUCAUUGCAGGCAUCGAGGACGCGGGCCAGCCGCUAAUCAUGCGAUUAGUGACUGCGGAAGUUACGCAAUCUAGCGAACGCACUGCUGGCGUAUCCACUACCAAUCUGAACUCUAACUGCUAACUGAAUUUUAUUUCAAGGUGCUGCAAUGUGCAGUUGCUCCAUGUCUCCACCGCCAGCACAAGGCGUGAGGAGGGAAGGAUGGGAGGAAGAGAUGAGGGCAGGGGAAGAGAUACCUCUGUUCUACGACCAAGUGCAGCCGGGAUCUCCAAUACCUCGCGGCGGCGGCGGCCCCUCCAGAACCUCACGCGGCGUCGGUGGGGACGUAUGUGGGGGAGCGGCCACUACGACCAAGACCAGCCGGGGCUUCGCCUCCUGGAUCUCGCGUCGGCGUCUUCGCCUGCAGGUCCUCGCGCCGACGUAGGUCCUCACUCCUGCGCCGCCGUCUCCCAGGUCCUCGCGCCGGCUCCUCCCUCUCGCGAGAUGGGUUAGCCAGAUGCGGGGGUUUG